rnacentral:rRNA from 2 species
UUCGGGGGCAGAGUGACAGGUGGUGCAUGGUUGUCGUCAGCUCGUGUCGUGAGAUGUUGGGUUAAGUCCCGCAACGAGCGCAACCCUUGAUCUUAGUUGCCAUCAUUAAGUUGGGCACUCUAAGGUGACUGCCGGUGACAAACCGGAGGAAGGUGGGGAUGACGUCAAAUCAUCAUGCCCCUUAUGACCUGGGCUACACACGUGCUACAAUGGACGGUACAAAGAGUCGCAAGACCGCGAGGUGGAGCUAAUCUCAUAAAACCGUUCUCAGUUCGGAUUGUAGGCUGCAACUCGCCUACAUGAAGCUGGAAUCGCUAGUAAUCGCGGAUCAGCAUGCCGCGGUGAAUACGUUCCCGGGUCUGUUACACACCG